ACGGAAGGCAGUAGUGAGGAAUAUUGGUCAAUGGGCGAGAGCCUGAACCAGCCAAGUAGCGUGCAGGAAGACGGCCCUAUGGGUUGUAAACUGCUUUUGUGCGGGAAUAACGUUGUGCUCGUGAGCGCAAGUGCAUGUACCGUACGAAUAAGGAUCGGCUAACUCCGUGCCAGCAGCCGCGGUAAUACGGAGGAUCUGGGCGUUAUCCGGAUUUAUUGGGUUUAAAGGGAGCGUAGGCGGAAGAUCAAGUCAGCUGUGAAAUGUAGAGGCUCAACAUCUGAACUGCAGUUGAAACUGGUUUGCUUGAGUGCGGAAGAGGCAGGCGGAAUUCGUCGUGUAGCGGUGAAAUGCUUAGAUAUGACGAAGAACUCCGAUCGCGAAGGCAGCUUGCCGGGCCGCAACUGACGCUGAAGCUCGAAGGUGCGGGUAUCGAACAGGAUUAGAUACCCUGGUA
rnacentral:rRNA from 1 species